ensembl:misc_RNA Metazoa_SRP Metazoan signal recognition particle RNA
GCUGGGCAUGGUGGCAUAUCCCUAUGGUCCCAGCCACUCAGGAGGCUGAGGCAGGAGGAUCACUUGAGCCUAGGGAUUCGGGGCUAUAGUACACUCUGCCAAUUGAGUGUUCCACACUAAAUUCAGCUUCAAUAUGGUGAUCUCCCAGGAGCAGGGGACCACCAAGUUGCCUAAAGAGGAAUGAACCGGCCUAGGUCAGAAACAGAGCAGGCAAAACUCCCAUACUGAUCAGAAGUGGGACUGUGCCUGCCAGUAACCACUGCAUUCCAGCCUGGGAAACACAGUGAGAUCCCAUCUCU